AAUGAACGCUGGCGGCGUGCCUAACACAUGCAAGUCGAACGCGAAAGCCCUGCUUGCAGGGUGAGUAGAGUGGCGAACGGGUGAGUAACGCGUGGGUAACCUACCCCCCAGUUGGGGAUAAUCCCGCGAAAGUGGGUCUAAUACCGGAUGACAUCGCCUCUCCUCGGAGGGGUGAUCAAAGAUGGCCUCUGGUACAAGCUAUCGCUGGGGGAGGGGCUCGCGUCCUAUUAGCUUGUUGGUGGGGUAACGGCCCACCAAGGCGACGAUGGGUAGCCGGCCUGAGAGGGUGUCCGGCCACACUGGAACUGAGACACGGUCCAGACUCCUACGGGAGGCAGCAGUGGGGAAUUUUUCGCAAUGGGCGAAAGCCUGACGAAGCGACGCCGCGUGGACGAUGAAGGCCUUCGGGUCGUAAAGUCCUGUCGGGUGGGAAGAAAAGUAUGAGCUCGAAUAAAGCUCAUGCUUGACGGUACCACCCAAGGAAGCCCCGGCCAACUCCGUGCCAGCAGCCGCGGUAAUACGGGGGGGGCAAGCGUUAUUCGGAAUCACUGGGCGUAAAGGGCGUCUAGGCGGUCGGGUAAGUCGUGGGUGAAAGCCCCCGGCUCAACCGGGGAAGUGCCUGCGAAACUAUCCGACUUGAGGUCGGGAGAGGAAAGUGGAAUCCCCAGUGUAGCGGUGAAAUGCGCAGAUAUUGGGAGGAACACCAGUGGCGAAGGCGGCUUUCUGGACCGACCUGACGCUGAAGCGCGAAAGCUAGGGGAGCGAACGGGAUUAGAUACCCCGGUAGUCCUAGCCGUAAACGAUGGGCACUUGGUGUAGCAGGAUUUAAAACCUGCUGUGCCGAAGCUAACGCAUUAAGUGCCCCGCCUGGGGAGUAUGGCCGCAAGGCUGAAACUCAAAGGAAUUGACGGGGGCCCGCACAAGCGGUGGAGCAUGUGGUUUAAUUCGAUGCAACGCGAAGAACCUUACCGGGGCUUGAAGUGUGGUUGACAGGAUGAGAAAUUAUCCCUUCUCUUCGGAGACAACUGCAUAGGUGCUGC
rnacentral:rRNA from 1 species